UUGUGUGGGAAAGAGGAGAAACUUAGAUUGCCUUAAUCGAUGUUGUCUUUUUCUGGAUUUUACAUUGGAAGAUGGUGCACAAUGCACAUUGCACAGAACAAAUCUACCAUAAAAGCUUUGUAUAUUCAAUCAUUACAAUGUUCACAAAUAUAAACCCAUGUUAUGUCCACACUCUGCCAAUAU